rnacentral:lncRNA from 1 species
UGAGGUGCAAUCUGAAGGAGGCAGUCGAGAUGGCAGGCCUGGUAUGGCAGGGGCGUGCACAUUGUGGUCUUGAUGAUGCCAAAAACACAGCUCGCUUGCUUGCCCUCUUGAUGCGCCAGGGUUUUAAGUUCGCUAUCACAAACUCACUGAUGUGGCAGGCUAGCGAUGGUCCAGUGACAUGGAAUCCGAUCCCUGAGAACACGGGUUUCUCUCUGCAUCACCCCCACAAGCUAAAAGAUCAACAAAUGCCCCUAUU